UUGGGAGGUGAUAAAUAAAAGCAGCAGCAAGCUGUUCAUUUGAGAUUUACACUCUCAUGAUAAGAUCUUCUGAGUUCCUGAAGGGAGAAGAAGAAGAAGCAUUGACACAAAAUCCAAAGACCUCUGUGUUGAGAUGUGACUACCAUCAACAAACAAGUCCAAUCUUGCCUCUGGGGAGGUUGACGGGAAAAUUCUUGUUUGUCUUCUCUGAACCAAAUUCAUUACCGAUAUCACUGCAUUAAUAUGCUGACUGUAGCUGGCUGAACAAAAGAACGACCAUGUGGAUUGAAAGGAGAAACAAGUCGGAACUUUCACUGAGAGACAGUCUCAGUCAUUCCCGUAAACAGCAUGAAUUUUGCCCGUGAGGAAUGAAAUAAUGAAAUGAAGGAGGAAAGGCUGUUAUGCCUCUUCCUGUUUUACAA